rnacentral:misc_RNA from 1 species
GAUGAAGAACGGAGCGAAAUGCGAUAAGUAGUGUGAAUUGCAGAAUUCAGUGAAUCAUCGAAUCUUUGAACGCACAUUGCGCCCUUUGGUAUUCCUUAGGGCAUGCCUGUUCGAGCGUCAUUUACAAAUUCAAGCUCAGCUUGGUGAUGGGUGUCUGUCCCGCCUUUGCGUGUGGACUCGCCUCAAAUGCAGUUGGCAGCUUGUUCCUCGGCUCUAAACGCAGCAGAUUUGCGUCGAGCGUCGUGCGGACGGGCUCUCCAGUAAGCAAACCCCCACAAAUUGACCUCGGAUCAGGUAGGGAUACCCGCUGAACUUAAGCAUAUCAAUAAGCGGAGGA